GACGAACGCUGGCGGCGUGCUUAACACAUGCAAGUCGAACGAUGAACUUGGAGCUUGCUCUGGGGGAUUAGUGGCGAACGGGUGAGUAACACGUGAGUAACCUGCCCUGGACUCUGGGAUAACUUCGAGAAAUCGGAGCUAAUACCGGAUAGGACCUUGCACCGCAUGGUGUGGGGUGGAAAGUUUUUCGGUUUGGGAUGGACUCGCGGCCUAUCAGCUUGUUGGUGAGGUAAUGGCUCACCAAGGCGUCGACGGGUAGCCGGCCUGAGCGGGUGACCGGCCACACUGGGACUGAGACACGGCCCAGACUCCUACGGGAGGCAGCAGUGGGGAAUAUUGCACAAUGGGCGCAAGCCUGAUGCAGCAACGCCGCGUGCGGGAUGACGGCCUUCGGGUUGUAAACCGCUUUUAGUAGGGAAGAAGCCUUCGGGUGACGGUACCUGCAGAAAAAGGACCGGCUAACUACGUGCCAGCAGCCGCCGUAA
rnacentral:rRNA from 1 species